rnacentral:rRNA from 1 species
GAGGAAUAUUGGUCAAUGGGCGCAAGCCUGAACCAGCCAAGUAGCGUGCAGGAAGACGGCCCUAUGGGUUGUAAACUGCUUUUAUACGAGAAUAAUUUGAUGCACGUGUGCGUUAUUGCAUGUAUCGUAUGAAUAAGGACCGGCUAAUUCCGUGCCAGCAGCCGCGGUAAUACGGAAGGUCCAGGCGUUAUCCGGAUUUAUUGGGUUUAAAGGGAGUGUAGGCGGUUUGUUAAGCGUGUUGUGAAAUUUAGGUGCUCAACAUUUAACUUGCAGCGCGAACUGUCAGACUUGAGUACACGCAACGUAUGCGGAAUUCAUGGUGUAGCGGUGAAAUACUUAGAUAUCAUGAAGAACUCCGAUUGCGAAGGCAGCAUACGGGAGUGUAACUGACGCUUAAGCUCGAAGGUGCGGGUAUCGAACAGGAUUAGAUACCCUGGUAGUCCGCACAGUAAACGAUGGAUGCCCGCUGUUAGCGCCUGGCGUUAGCGGCUAAGCGAAAGCAUUAAGCAUCCCACCUGGGGAGUACGCCGGCAACGGUG